ensembl:snoRNA
ACUUCUUGCUUUUGGUUUCGUUUAGCUCAUAGACAAAGACUUAGACAAGUGGGAAAAACAAAUCUUCUUUUGCAACCCAGAACUCAUUGUUCAGUGCGAGUUUUGAUACAGGUGAAAAGGCACAUG